UAUGAAUUUUCAAAGAUUCAACAAAACAUCUACAAACAAGUCCUUAUAGCACUAUUCACCUGAGUCACAGUCUGUGCAGAAAACCCCCUAGAAAAGCUUCAAUUGUUGCCCAAGGUCCUUGAUCGCGACUGACGAACAGAGGACGUCGGAGAAGGCUCGGUUUUGGUUGGUUGAUGCUCGUCGGCGGCGAGGGAAAGGUGCUAAGGAAUCUCCAUGCCUAACCGCACCCUUGGAAGUCAAAACAUGGCCGGAGAUGAUUCGUGGUUCCCUAGCCACAUGCACAGGCGGCCAUGGCGGUUUGCCGGUCCGCAGCACGGCGGCACGACGGAGUUCUAGCCCGUGUUGUACGAAACGAGAGGCUCAUAGGUAUCAGCGAAUGGAGGUGGAGCUAUAACACAAAACGGAUAGAGUGGAGCUGCGCUGGAGAGCUCUGGUCACGGUGGGGUGACGUACGGCGGCCAUGGCUUGCGGCGGCAGGACAGCAGGGGAAGAAAUAGGAAGCAAGGAGGGCGCUGUCGUCCGCUUCGGAUGAGGAUGGCGUGGAAUAGGCAAGGGCAAGCAGGCGCACAGCUGCGUGGAGGGCAUGCCGGACGCCAGCGCGUCCACCACGGCGCUGGAGUGCGAUGCUGGCCGGUGGCAAUAGGUGGAGCUACUGUAGCUCGCCCUAAUCCCUUCCCCCUCAUUUUCCAAAUUAUUCCCAAACUUUGAAUAGCACUCAAAUUUCUGCCAAAACAACAUUUGUUAAAAAUUUUGAACUCUACAAAUCAUAUUUAAUGACCCAAAGCAAAUUUUGAAUAGAGAGGGACAAAUUUGAGCCAAACUGUUUGAAAUUCAAAAAUUCAAUUUGGGGGCAAAACUGGUUUGAAUUGGGGCAGAAUAGAAAUUCUAAAAUUACUUUUGAUUUUUCUCAACAACUUGAAAAACUCCCAAAAUAAAAGUUGUUCAUUUUGAUGAGCCCUACAACUUUCAUUUUGAUCACUUUUCAAGAUUCCAAAUAGGUUUUGAAUUAGGGAUUAAAAUUAGAAAAGGGGACAAUUUUGGAAAUUUGUAUUUUCAAAAUUACUUUCAGUUUUGCAUUGAAUCUUCAAAAACUCAAAACACUAAAGUUGUACACCUUGACAAGAUCUACAACUUUGCUUUUGAACUCAUCAAACAAAUUUUGCUUAGUUUUUAAGUUGCACAAAAGGGGGUAAAACUAGGAUUGAAAUUAGGGUUUUUCCUUAGCUAUUCCCUUACCACCCUCCUUAACUAGGGAUUAAACAACCAUCACAAGCAUCACUUCACAAGAUAAACACACUUUAAUUCCCUAAGCACAAUCAACCAAAAUAAACUUAUUUUAAGUUGAUGCAUAAUGAUGUGUUUAACAAAUAUGCUUUGCGAUGCUUAUGAUGACAUGAUCAAGUUUUAGUAUCUGUAACAUCAGGGAUGUUACAGCCCUUCCCCCUUAAAGAAAUCUCGUCCCGAGAUUUCCAGGGUACCAAAACCCGUGGGGUUAAAUAAUGGAAAAGGAAAUGUGUCAAACACAUUAACUCUUGAGAAGAUCAUAAACCACCUACGAUUGGUUUGAGAAAUACAACUAAGAUCAACAGAAAGUUGUAAUCAACCAGGAAUUUCAGAGAAUUCAUAAGAAGGUAUGAAUCUCCAAAUGAGUUUCCAAGGAGAAUGAAAGCACACUAACUGUAGACUAUAGUGGAGUAUGACCAGAGAUCCCGAUGUUUAACGAGCACCUGGUAGUAUUUCCUUAUGGCCGCGGUUCCACAGGAGACUACAAGGUUCGACGUUAUAACGUGAUCACGGAUCAUGGUACCUACUAUAGAGUACGGUUACAAUAGCUUUCAAUCAACCUAUGAUGGUUAUCCAAGUCAAGGGUUUUAGGUAAUUCCCACAAAGAUAUGGGCAUGGGUUCCCAUGAUAGGGCUCAAAGAGCGAGGACACCUUAGUUGUGGGGCUAUAAUGGAUCAUGUCCAUAACCUCGAUAGCUGCACGCGCCCAGUAGAAAUUUGUGUCAUCCGGACACACAAAAGACUCUAGGUUCCGACGCGGCACCGUGGUCACGGGACAUGGCACCACUAUAGGGCACCACAACAAUAACCCAUGUCUCACAAUACUAAGAAUGUAACUGAGAUCAAAAGUCGAUCACAAUCACAAGGUGUUUGGGGAACUCAAAAGGACAACUUUGAAUCCCUAAGGAGUGUCCAAAGAAUGAAACACCCUAAUUGUGGACUAUAAGGGAUCACGAUCAUAUACUUUGAUAACAAUGAGCGCCCAGCAGUAUUUCCUCAUGGUCAUGAGCCAUAGGAAACCCCAGGUUUCCACAUUGUUACCUAAGUUACCAGUCAUGGUACCUUAAGAGGACACAAUCAUAGUGUCAUUCAAUCAGCAUAUAUGUCAUCAAAUGACAGCAAGGAGGUAACAUGUGUCAAGUUAGAUGAAAUCAAGGAAGGUCACAUGCAUAACAAGAGAAUCAAGGAUUAGGAUCUUAUGGAGUAAAAGAUUAUCAAUCGGUUAACGAAACCUGGUACAUGAUGAGAUUCAUCCAUAAAAUAGCUAUAAUGAAUAAUAAUUGUUUUGGAAGCAUAAGGAGGAAGUUUUAAGCAUCAUUAUAUUUUCAAAUUAUGCAUGAUAUGCAAUAUGCUCGUCCUAUACGUCUUCUCAACGGCGAGAGUGCUCCAUCUUCAUCACGUUAGUAGAUUAUAGGGCUUUAUUUAUACACUAUCUUCAUCGCUCUGGAUAGAAUGUUGCAAGACUUUUGACAAAGCAUUGUUGGAGUAGUUUGGUUCUUCACUUGGCUUGUUGAAGAAGAAUUGAAGUCCCUUUCAAUGCCUUCUAUUUGAGUCAGCAGACAGUCUUCACAGAGCUCAGACAGCAAGCAUAAGAAAAGUUAAGGAACAUUUAUAAGUUGUUAUCCAAAAAAACUUUUAAUUUGUAAAUUCCUUUUGAAGUUUUUCACAAGUAAUGUUGCAGAAGAUCCAUGUAUGGGCUCUGAUACCACUCUGUGGCAGAACCACCCUAAUUAUAUGGCCCACAUGCACUUGAUAUUGUCCUUAAGGCCUCUGACUACUGCACAUGAGAGUCAUAUAACUUGGAUAGUCUGUCGGGUGCCCUCGGAGGACCCCGAAUCAUCCACAUUUUAACUCAUACAGGAUCAACAUGGAGUUUCCACAACAUUACAACAUUUCUUACAAAAAUAUCUUACAUCGGAGUGCGGAAGAUUUAUAACUCAAUUUACAACAUAUGAUGGAAUAUAAACAACUAAAUUUCCAAAAGGUGUGUAGAGUAGCGGAAGCAUCUUAGGUGAAGCUUCUAAGGUAGAAGAGGUGGAUAAAUCAUGUCGCGCCCACCGACAUGACCUCCAUUAGCAGCAUAAGUCAGCACCUGCAACAGGGGUUAUAAAACCCUGAGUACGGGAGUACUCAACAAGACUUACCCGCCGGAAAAAGAGGAGAAAGUAGGAAUGCAGGCUUAGGGUAGACAAGGAGUGGCUGAGCAAGGAGCCAAAUUGUUUUGCUAAAAAGCUUACUAAUAAUGCAUCCUUACUUUCAAGUUUUAUCCGCGAAUUCCUCUCCUCAAGAGGCCGAGGAGUUCGAGGACAGUCUAUCUAGUUGCUUCUCACAAUCAAGUCUGUAAGUUCCUAGUCCUUAAUCAAGUUCCUAGUCCUUAAUCAAAGUAUUAUCUAUCCAACGGCCAUAGCUUCAUGUCACUCUGAGUCCGGGAAUUGGGAUCCGAACCUCAGGAGACAUUUCCCCCUUUCUCAUUUUAUCACUUAGUUGCAUAUUUAUCUACGAUGAGGGUCGAAGGAAUUGAGUCUCCCAAUCGGGGAGCAACGACGAUUCGAAUCGCUUAGCAAUCCAGCUGGAGUUUCUAACCACCCGACAUAUGUAGAACCAAAUCUUGCAUAUGUCAACCCAAAUCGAGUUCUCCCCAAAUUUGACUAGGUUCGCGGCAACCGAGAGCACAGUACCCCACCAUCCUACAGCCGAUCUAGAUGUUUCCCGGUCAUCUCAGAUCCGUAAGGUGGGUACACGCUACUCUCGCCAUCGCUCCACGCCCAGUGCGCGAGUAGCUGUUCGCGUCGAGGGAUCACAAGACCGGGCUUACUGAGGGCAAGUGGCUAGUACUAUAAAUUCUCAACCCAGCAGGCCAUCAACGGACCGGUCCUUAACUGACACAAUUGGAGACACUACUUUAAGACUCCAUUCUUAAAGCAAGUCCACCGACCGGUCUCAAGUUGAAACGUCAUUGAACAUAAGUGUAUUCCACAACAACCCUUCAAACUUUCUUGUUUGAAAACCUAUCUAGUAGCAGGGCUAAGCAUCACUACGCAGUUUUAAAAUAAAAUAGGUGUCAAGGACAGGAUAACAAAUAUCAAGGUAGUAAAUGCAGCAAGUAGGUUAACCCAAUUCUCAACUACCUAAUGCAGCAUUUUCAAUUCAUAAGUGAUAAAAGAUUUAAAACAUUCAAGGAGGGGUUAAUGCAUCCGGGGCUUGCCUUGGUUGCAGAGCUGAGAGGGACCCUCGGAGACUUCCCAAGUCUCGGAUUCUACUUCCUCGAACGGAACACCGACCUUGGGGUUCGGUUCAACGGUCGCUCCUUCGGUCACGUGCACUACACGUAAAAUGAUGUAUGCUCAUGAUAUGCUUAUGACAACUAUUUAAGAAGGACCGAGUUGAGUACAACAUUCCUUCUCGGUGCAAGGACAUGUUAAACAAUAACUAAAGUUGUUUAUCAUUUUAGUGUUCUUACCCAAGAGGUUGCAUCAGUAAGCUAAGACUUUCCUUAAUUUACAAUUAGUUUUAAUUAACUAAUUAUUAGUCCUUUUUAUCUAAAUUAAUUCUUAAUUAAGUAUUAAUGACAGUAAUUAAGUAUUAACCUCAAACAAUAAUUAAAUGCCAACGGUCAUGAAAGAUAAUGACCUCAGGUCAUCACACAAUCCCAAAAGCACUCAAAUUCUAAUUUGGAAAUUAAGCUACUCAUUAUUUAAGUAAAGGCUAGCUAAAAACAAACAACUCUAUUUGCACACAUAACCAGGACAGCAGCAUAUACACAACUUCAUUCAACCAUAAUUAGAGAUCCAAGCAUCCAAUAAAGGUGAUAUUAGACUUUCUGGAAAGCUUAGAUAAUUAUCUAGGACCUGGUUAUUAUCUUCAAGAAUUGAUUCAAUAGACAAAAUGGCCAAACAGCAUGAAUAAACAAUUCUGUCCAGACCUUGGACAGAAUCAGACAUUAAGCUUUAUACAUCUAUAACCAGAGUUCUAGAUAGCCAAAAGUCAUAAUUCAUAACAUUUUGAAAAUAUUAUGAAAAAUGCUACAAUUUAUCUUUCAUCAUCAAAGCAUGAUUCACAAGUUUAGCAAGUCGAAAUUGCACAACUACAAAAACUAAUCUAGGAUUUGACAGAGAGAAACCAUUUCUGGAACUUAAAUUUAAACAGACAUAACUCAGAAACUACAGGGCCAAAUGUCACCAAAAUUUAACACUAGCUAGAUACAUGAAUUGUAUACAACUUUGUUAUAGACAAGUUUCAUAUCCAACAUCAUUUACCUAGAGAAAUUCAUAAUGUUCCAGAAACUAUCUAGAAAUCACUAAUAAUUGAAUUACAGAGAAAUAACAUUUCAUUUAUGUUCCAAACUUGAACCUGGGCAAAACCCAGCUUAGCAACAGUUGAAAUACAUCAAAUAGAUACUAGAAGACAUCAUGGCCAUCCUAAGUAAAUACCUUUCAUGUCUUUAUUAAUUUAUUUAGCUAAAUAGACAAAGUAAUAACCAUAUAUCAAAUGUACUCAGUAAAUUCUGAGAAAACUACAGCAGCUCAUAUAUGUUCUCCAAAGUCUACUGUAUAAGUUUCAUGCCAUUUGGAUAAGUAUAGCAAUUUCCAUGAAAAAGAUAAAUUUCCAUCACAAGGAAGCAUGUAACAACAAGAUAAAUAAGAAACUCAACAUUUUCUACAAACACAUAGCUAAAUUAUGUAUCUAUAUGUUAUAACAACCUCAUAUAAAGGUACAGGAACCAUAUUUUACAUUUAUUCAUUUUUAGUUUAAUUGUAAACUAUUUAAUAAGCACUACACAAGAUAAAUCAAUAACUUAAUCAUAUUUCAUCCAAUGACUCUAAAAACUUAACCACAUCACACAAACAUAAUCAUUAUUCUACCAUAAAUGUUUUAUCUUAAAAGAAGCUAUACAGCAAUAGAUAUGUAUUUCUUCCUUUUAAGCAUAAUUAAAAGACAUAAUUCAUAACUAAUUCUUUUACUAUAAAACAUGGUCAGUUCCAUAUUUUUAAUAAAAACUAGACAUUUCAAGGAGCACAACAAAAUUUUGUUCACCAAAAUUGGAGUUACCAAACUCCAAAUAUGAAUUUUCAAAGAUUCAACAAAACAUCUACAAACAAGUCCUUAUAGCACUAUUCACCUGAGUCACAGUCUGUGCAGAAAACCCCCUAGAAAAGCUUCAAUUGUUGCCCAAGGUCCUUGAUCGCGACUGACGAACAGAGGACGUCGGAGAAGGCUCGGUUUUGGUUGGUUGAUGCUCGUCGGCGGCGAGGGAAAGGUGCUAAGGAAUCUCCAUGCCUAACCGCACCCUUGGAAGUCAAAACAUGGCCGGAGAUGAUUCGUGGUUCCCUAGCCACAUGC
rnacentral:lncRNA from 1 species